CAUAGAAACAAGCCAUCUCUCUGUGAAAAAGAAGGUCUCUGAACCACCACCAAUAAGUCAUGCCUUUAGUGUUAUCAAGACCUGUCUCAUCUUAUCCUGAACCCUGCACCUUGAACCCUGCUUUCUGCUAUGGUUACCCCCACUGCUAUUGUUAAUUCUCUGGACUGGACUUGAUUGAACACAGAUGAGGAUCAUUCUGGGAGCCAUUGGAAGAAAACAAAACACAUUGUUCCUACAUUAAAUUGUGUCAUUCAUCGAAGAGGUAGUGGGACAGUUUUGCAAAGGAAACAACAUUCUUAUAACUAUAUCAACAACUGAAACCUCUCUGAGCAAAAACCGUGCCCUCCAGAAUAUAUGGUGGAGGUUUCACCUCUACAAUAGAUUUUCUAUGAAGGCAUGAAUGAAAGGUGAAUAGAUAUCUCAAGACAAAGAGAAAUGACAAGACAGAGAUAAUGAGAGAACAUGUUUUUAUAUGGAGACAGUUGAACUUUUUGCUGGAAAAAUGCAUGCCCAUGUUCCAGGGGGAUCAUAGUUUGAUGCUAUUUGAGUGUGGAGCCACCCUGCCAUCUGCCCCAUUAUCCACCAGAAUGACUGCUAACUCAUCACAAAACUUAUAACGUUAACUCACAAUGAGAUACGUAUACAGAAAAAUGAACAUCGUUAAAAUCUAAAAGGACUGAAAUUGUAGUUCUUGCUUACAUUUUACCAUGUAAAGAACACAUAUUUCACAGCUUCACUCUUUCUGAAAAAACGAACAAAUAAAACAAAACAAAACAAACAAAAAAAAAAAAAACAAGAAAAAAGAAGAACAGCAAAGGUGAUUUCAUUGACCCCAAUUUUGGAAGCAAGGAGAAACAAGCAUGUGAGAUAGUCUACAAAGCAGUGCAAAGCUACUUAAAGAAGAGAUAUUUGAGCUGUAAUGCAAAUGCAUCAUUUAAAAAAGAAUAAUUUAUCUCUGUUGACUACAGAGGAUGUAAUUAGACUUUCUAUAUAUCAUACUGUGUAUGUUGAAGGAG
rnacentral:lncRNA from 1 species